rnacentral:rRNA from 1 species
GACGUAGGGCGCGAGCGUUGUCCGGAUUUAUUGGGCGUAAAGAGCUCGUAGGCGGCUUGUCGCGUCGUCUGUGAAAUCCCGCGGCUCAACUGCGGGCUGGCAGUCGAUACGGGCAGGCUGGAGUUCGGUAGGGGAGACUGGAAUUCCUGGUGUAGCGGUGAAAUGCGCAGAUAUCAGGAGGAACACCGAUGGCGAAGGCAGGUCUCUGGGCCACUACUGACGCUGAGAAGCGAAAGCAUGGGGAGCGAACAGG